CGAGACAAAGGAACUCUCGUUCCACGCACGUCUCUCUCUUUCUCUAUAUAUAUAUACAUGUAAAUAAGAUUAAAGUACUUGCUAUAGCUAUCUUAAUUUGGCUUUCAAGUCAUUAUUGGAGAUCAAUAUUCAUUCAAGAUUUAACGGCACAAGGCAACCAUGUCCAAAAUUUAUCCCAGUGAGAACAAACGCAAUGAAUUGAAACCGAAAGGAGAUGAUGAUUGCCGUUUACGCCCGAGCAUGCUCACUGUGUGGAAGAGAUCAAGCAUGAGCUUCCAAGGCACUGAUGGGUUCACAGUGUUUGAUCAGCAAGGGAGAUUAGUUUUCCGUGUUGAUAAUUACUCGCGGAAUCAUCCUUGUGUUGCUGCUUCCGGUCUAGUGCUCAUGGACGGAGCUGGCAAUGCUCUGCUUUCUUUAAAACCCCAGGUAUAUAUACGUGUGUGUGUGUGUGUGUGUGUGUGUGUGUGUGUUGUGCAAAGGCUUUACAACACCGCACUUUAUGAAUCUCUGAUGAAACUUUUGUGCAUGGCUAUGGACAGAUACUGAGCAUGCAAAACCAGUGGAACGCGUACAGGGAAGAGGAUGGAUGUGGAAAGAGCAGUCCGAGGUGUAAAGUAUUUUCGAUGAGGAGCUCAUCGAUGGCGUUCUUCGGUGGCGGCAAGGAUAAGGCGGAGGUGUUCAUGGGGUCAGCAUCAGGACGAGGUAGACAACAAAGGGGGACGACGCCGGAUUUCAGGAUUGAGGGUUCUUUCAGGAAUCGAAACUGCAAGAUAAGUAAUGCGGAAGGACAAGUCGUGGCCAAGAUUGCGAGGAAGAGAGUCAUGAACUCUACCGUAAUGCUAAGCGACGACGUUUUUAGCUUAGUUAUACAACCUGGUUAUAGCAGUGAGCUUAUUAUGGCUUUUGUAAUUGUACUGGAUCGCAUCUCCACCAAGCCGUAUACUCCUGCUUUGUGUUCUUGAUGACUUUGUACUUUUUUCUUCUUUUUGUGUACACAAAAAGCCCACGUAAAUAAUUCAUACAAGUUUUGGAUUUUGCUUCCUUGGCCGUGGCCAAUGGGAAGAAGAGAUAGCUGGACAGGAGUCAUCAAAAGAUUUUGUUCACAAGCAUGCAAUAUUGCGCUUGAAUUGAUGACACGAUUGUUCAUCUUGUAAAAUAAAUAAAGAAAUCAUAUAUUUAAAUUCGAUCAGUAGUCCGGAAUCAAGGGAAGAAAUCAUCUGAAUUAAAAAAUGACAGAUUUUCCGUUAUUAUUUUAAAUUUUUGCAUUGCAAUAAUUUUCCUAAUUUCCAAGCUAAUUAAGGGAGUCAAAAUUCGAUUGGCUGAAUAUAGGUGGAGGAAAGAUUAGUUUUGUUCAUAUAUAUGUAUAUCCAGGAAUAAUAAUAUCAGAAUUUUUAAAAUAUUUGCCUUUCCAUUGCUUGUGCUUCUAUUCAUUAGUGUUAAAUUGUGGAAUUGACAAAAGACAUCUACGCAUUAAGAAUGUGGUCUAGCUACUAAUAUUUCUUUAGCGGCUGGUUAGAAGAUGAAGUGUUAAGAUAGUCGUAUACAAGUCUAUCGCACAGUCAAUGUCCUUCGUCACAGAGGAUGAACAGUAGGUUGGCGAAUCAGAUGGAAAAGCCCAUGUGUUUUUUUUUUUAGAUAAUUCCUUUAUCUGAAUCCUAAACAAAAGUGCUCUUCUCAAUCUCAGCUGAAGAGGAAAUGAGAUCAAAUUGCCAGAUAAAUGCUAAAUCUGUCGUGUUGAAAACGUUAUGUGUCAUUACAUGAAUGCUUGCCAACAAGCAUAUAACCGGCUCAACUCAACUCUAUCCUAAACUUUUAAUUAUCACCUUGGAACAAAAUUCCAAGAAUCCGGCUCUACAAAAUACAAGUACAGAAUCGCAUUGUAAGACUAACUCAGCAAUUGUAUGAUCUUGAGACUGUUCGUUGCACAAACGCCAACCCUAUUCAGUUAUCCAUAUUGCCAAUACAACAAAAAUCCGUUCUACUUGCAAGUGAUAACUACAGAAAGAAUGAGUAUGCACCCAAUGACCGGCCACGUAUGUGCACCAGAUGAUAUAUCAUCAGUCAAUCACCAGACACAAAAGUCUUGCCCUCAUAGUACCUUUUCUCGCUUGCAUUCUUUUUCUCAUUUCGUUUCUGCAGAAGAAAGAAACACAUUUUCAUUUCUCCGUGGAUUAAACAGAAAAAAACACCAACACAGCAAACAAACAAACAUUAAGCAUUUAAUGGUCAUAGCACCAAACUGCUCAAUGGACGCGUUAGAACAAGCCCAUAACUCCCAUACUAUAAUUUCGAGAAGACAAACCUAUUACGCAUACAACAGCUUUAAACAGGUUGAUUCUCCCAUCUUCAUACAUAUGUUACACUGACUUGCCAACUACUAGAACAACCAUCACAUGCUCCCCAAGGUCGGAAGAGCAGUGAAUAGGUCUUUUUUCAGGCACAUAUUAAAAGGCAAGUUUUGCAGAGGGAACUCUUUUCUUUCAGCCAAUAGUCAAGUGGCUUCUUUCUUAAAACAUGUGGUAAAAACAUGCUAAGUUGAUCAAGAGCAUCAAAUAACAAGGUUUUUGAAGGUAGGUGAACCUGAUAUGCCUCAUGAUUUGAUACAAUCCUCCUAAUUAUCGUGGCAGUAGUAAUAUCGAGUGGACUUUCCAGAACUUUGAAGAUACCCACGCUAAUUGGAAUAGCGUAUGGAUUGCCAUCAUCCUAUAUAACAAAAAUAAUCUGUCAGCGAAAAGGUGUAUCUUGGCACCACAAUAAUCAGUGGUCAACUCUUUGUAACCACAUGCAACUAGAAACUUCUACAAAAUUUACCUUCUGAAAAUCAUCGUUCUCAGCUACAGUUCCGUGGACAACUAAUGAUAUGUUGAAUGUUGUAAUCUGCAGCCCAAAAAAAAUUUAAAAAAAAAAAUCAAGUUAUAUCAUUAAUAAAGACCCAUGUCAUGACUUUGACCAGGCAUACUUGAACCAAAGAAGAAGGAAAAUUCUAAGACAUAAUCUAAUUCGAAAAAUGAGCUAGGAAAGUCCACAAGAGUCAAGAUCCUAGAAUUCAACUGAAUAGUCAAUUCUUUGCUUCUUUCCUUCAAGAUAUCUAAUAUUCUUCUCUCCGAGCCUACAGCGAAAAACAUGUUGUUGGAAAAAUUUGUUCUUUAAAAGUAUACGUGUUUAUUUAAUUGUAAUAAAUAAUUUUUUUGAUUAAUAAAAUAAAUAAGAAUUUUCUUUAAAUAUCUUAAUUGCAUUAAUAUUUUGAGUAAAAUCAAUUUAAUCAUAUUAUAUGUAUUUAUGUGAUCAAUAUGUGGAUUCACAAAAGACAUAAAUACAAGUUAUAUUAUGAUUAAAUAAAUUAAGUUUUGCAGUUGAUAAAUAAAGUACUCAAGUUUUGCAGUUGAUAAAUAAAGUUGAGUACUUUAUAUAGGUAUAGACUGUAAUAAAUUCAUUGAAUGAUUUGUCUUAAUCAUGUAUGAAUUUAUUGAUGUAGUCGUUGAGCACUUUAUUUAGGUAUAGUCUGUAAUAAAUUCAUUAAAUGAUUUGUCUUAAUCAUGUAUGAAUUUAUUGAUGUAGUACAACUAUAUUGAACAGGAUCACAAAUGAGAUUUAAUUAACUUUGUAAUAACUGUCAGACUUAUUAAAUCUCAUAGGCAUUGAUUUUACUAUACUCUUAAUCUUGAGUUAGAUAUAAUUUCAUGAUUGUAAUUGUUAUUCCAUUUGAGUUACCAAUGGGCACGACACACACUUGUAGUCAAGAUUACUCGGUAUCUUGGUGGGAGCAAUUAUGAAUAUUGGAAUUAUAGAUUAGCAAUAUAGAAUUUGUACAACACAUCUCUUGAUGAGUUUUCGGCACUUGAUCAUAAAAUUCUUUGGCCAGAGUUUGUCAACAUAUUUAAUAUGUUGAAAAUGAUAAUUAGAGAAAACCAAUAAGUAUUAAGGAACAAGAUGUAAUUAAAUUAAUUGAACAAUUAAGAUAUCAAUUUAAUUAACGAUGUGGUACAAAUGAUUGUACAGUAAAGAAAUCAAUGUGGCAUGGGUCAAAUUAUUAUUCGAGAACACUAUCCUGAAUAACAUACAAUUAUGAAGGUCAAUUCAAAUCUUUUAGAGGAGUAGAUUUUGAAUUAAAUAAUUGGGUUAGUUUAAUUAUCGGCAUAAUUAUUGUACCCACUAUUGUAUGUACUCAAAUGAUCUCCGGGUUAACUCAUUUAAUUGACUGCGUCGCUACUGGAUUAAUAAGUAAGAUAACUAGUUGUUUGGGUUAAAGCCUAAAUAUAUUAUUUAGUGGGAGACUCCAUAAAAUAUGCUUGUGUGUAAGGGUCUUAUGUUAUUUUACAAGGUGGACCCUUAUAACAAGAAGAAGUAACGUUAUUUAUGGUUUUAUUAUUUUUUUAAUUUAAAUCAAAUGUGAUUUAAUAGAAUUAAUAAAUUAAUAAAUAUGAAGCCUAAGGUUUCCAUCAAAUAGAGAUAUAAAAAUGCUUAUUUUCUCAACAAGAAAAGGUGAAGCCACAUUAUACAGAUUAUAAAAAAAAAAAAGAUUUUUCUCUAAUUUUGAGAGAAAUAUUUUCUCCUACUAGUUACUUUUUAGUGGUGAUAAAAGCGCCCACACGUCAAGUGCAGAUCAAACGUGAGUCAUAACUUGGAAAAUCAUUGGUGACAGAUCGUGAUCUAACCGGAGUAGUGGUGACAGAUCGUGAUCUAACGGUCUAGAUUACUUUAGCUAAAAAAGUAAAGUUGAAUUGUCAAUGUAUGAUUUUUUAGAUUUUGAAUUCUUAUGUAUUGUAUGAGAUCGAUCUUAAAAGUUUUUAUAAAAAUUAAAAAACUGAUUUUUCUCCCACACGUGCAAUGUGUAUAUACAAACUCUCUUGACCAUUUGAAGCUAAGGGGAAAAAAAAAAAGAGAGAUCAAGUAAUUUUAAUUUUUAGAAAAAAAGAGUUCCCACAAGAUGGAUGUGGGAAUAACCGUCCCACACAAAGAAAAAGACCCCGGUGGGAUGCCAUCUAGCACAACCACAUCACUGACAGCUAGCUAGUGCUUCCUAAAAAUUAUUAGUAGCAUCCACCAUUUCUAACUUCCAAACAUGCAUCACUCAGAGAAACUCAGACUCCAGCACCGAUUCCUUCAUGGCCAAUGCAUCUUGCACUCUUAUGCAAAGCUAACACAAGUAUUUUAGAUAACCCAGAAAUGAGUAAACUAGAUAUCACCAGAUGUAUAUAUAUUAACUAAUAAUUUCCAGGCGUAACUACACUAGUACUAUUAAUAAUAUUUUCUGAUUUUUGAUUUCUCUGAAUCAAUCAUCCAAUUUUAAUCAAUAGUCAAGAGCUAUGAAUCAACGUUUGAGAAAACAUCUUUACUGAUGAUUUAAAUCAACAUAUAGCCUGACAAUUUAAAUAUCAACAUAAAGCCUAAUAACUAGCUUACAACGAGUAACACAAAAUGAAAGAUACUUGGAAGACACAAGGAAAAUAACAAGAAGUUAACAGAGAAACUAACCAUGUUUUUAGAAACUUCCCAGGGAGCACCAAUUAUAACCUCAUCAACGUAGCGACAAGCUAAAACACUUAAACUUCUUUCGUGAAGAUUCAUGAUAGGGCGAUGAGCUCCUCUUUAGCACUGCAGAGCCAUGUGAUUAAGUUUUCCAUAACACAUGAUAAAGGUCAGAAACUUCGCUCAAUUUUUCUUAGUAUAAAAAACGACUAUAGAAUCAGGGCAAAAGUCUAACAAAAUGAAGGAUAUAGAAGGAUUUUUAAACCUGACUGUUUGAUCAUUGUGUAUCCCAACAAGAAGAAAAUCUCCAAGCCCCCGAGCAAUCCUCAAAAUAUACAACACAAGAUAAUUGGCAAGAAAUACAAAAAUAAGUGUAAAAUAACAGAGAUAAAGAUAAAUUUAAAAAAGAAAAAGACAUGAUACAACUUAACCCAUAAUAAAAUAUGCAGUUAUGACACCAUCAAUUCUGAUAAGGAACGUUUGGAUUAAUUAAUUCCGCAUAUGCAUACACACUGGUCAAUAUUUUCUAACCAUCUACCCCACAUGUUUUUAGUUGAUUAAACUAGGAAUUUUUCACAUUCCUUUUUACGAUAUGCAGUUCGUUUUGACUAUAUAAAUUAAUAUAUUUAUGACAUUAAUUAUUAUUUGAUUUUUAUUACCGUUUAUUUAAUCAAUAGAUUAUUUAGAAUACAACGAUCGAUCGACCUAAUGAUGAUGACGCUAGGGCCACUUACCUCCAUAAACUUUCCCUUCUAAAUAAAAUUAAUUAACACACACAACACACACACACAAAAUCCCAUAUGGACUACAAAGUAAUCGAAUUUUCUAUUCCCAAACAUAUUCUAGUGACCCUCUAAUCCUAAUCCUAAUCCUAAUCCUAAUCCAGGUUAAAUUUUGUUUUUAUUCAUGGUGGAUGGUUACCAAAUACCACCUGCAAUUAAAAUGCACGCGUCUUAUACUGGAUGUGAGUUUCCUUUUAAAGUGACAUUUUAUAACUUUUUUUUUUCUUAUUUUAUAUGAAGAUUUUUCUAUGAUUUUGUAUGAAAUUUUACAACCCUGAAAAUAAUAAUCUUGUGAACCCUUGGAUUUAAGUCACCAUUGGUUUAAUUUAGUAUUAUAUAUAAUAACUACUUAAUAAUAAUUACUAUGUAAUAUUGAAGUUGCUGAGUUAUUUGCAGGUUCAUAGAUAUAAUUUUAUUUUUAAGUAAUUAAAAAAUGUUUUCUAAAUCACUAAAAAUAAAAACAUUAAAUAAGCUUACACACACGCAUGUUAAUGUGUACAUGAUAAAUAUGAAUUAGAAAAUCUUCAACAACACAUGCAUGUUGAUAGAAUAGUGAUCCCUUUUAUCAUGUAUAAUUGUAACAGUAUAAUUUUAAAUACUUGAUUUUACUCAUUGGCAUUACCCCAAUCUUUACUAAUCUAGCAAGUCUUUGUGAAGAAGCGAGACAAGAUGAAAAAUAUAGAAGUUUAGAUAAACUAUAUUGUUCGUUGUUAUUAUUUAACCUUAAAUAAAAACUUUUUUGGAUAUCAUUUUGAUUAAAUUUUUAAUUAUUAAAAUUAAAAUAUCAUCCUAACUAAAUUCCAAUUUUAUCAAUCAUUGAUCAAAUCUAAUUGUAUAUAUUUAUAUCGCAAGUGAUACAGUAAUUUUUAUAACUGCUAUACAGGGAUGACAAUCAGCAUCGUCCGCAACGAGUUUACUGUUACCAAACCCACACCCGCACCCGUUGUGGGUUUUAAUUUUUUAGAAAAAUCAACUUGCUACGGGUUUUGAUAAUUACCAAACCUGCAAUGGUACCCAGAGGAUUCUCACAUUUAAAAUCACAAAUGUACAAUAUGUAAAUUUUAUAUUAAUAACCUGAAAUUCCACAAUUCUAAAUUUAAUCAAUGUAAAUAGAAAAUUAAAAUUUCAACAUUAAUUCAACAUAAACUCUCAAAUUUAAGUAUGAAAUAUAUAAAUCCAUUAAAAAAAACCACAAAUGUAAUGAAAAAUUCAUGGGUUUGCGGCUGCGGAUCACGGGUGAAAGGGAAAUGGGUGUGCGGCUGUUGCUCACAGGUGAAAGGGAAAUAGUUUGGAAGGCUAGGCUUUGCGGCUGCCGCUUAUAAGUGAAAAUGAAAUAGUUUGGGUUUCCUUUAGGUUGGGUUAUGAGUUACAACUUACACACACCACACAUGACAUGUUUACACUUUACAUUUAUUUAAUUUAUAUAUUUUUAGAUUUAAUUAUUUUUUAUUUAAAAUUACAUUGAAAAUAUUUGAGAAAAAAAAACCGCGGGUUUGGCGGAUAUCCCUGCGGCUAUCCAUCGGAUAUUUAGCUAAUACCAAACUCAGCCGCAACGUAAUGUGGGGUUCAAUUUUUAAUACUAAACUCGCCCACAACCUAUAAAAUUACCCACAACGGGCGAAUUUUGACAGGUGAAUUUAGACAAAUUUACGGGUGCCAUUGCAUCCCUACUGUAGUAUUAAAAAAUGACCCCUUAUAUAUAGAAAUAUAUCCUAGUACGGGCUACAGACAGUGACCUAAUUAGAGGAGUGCUUAUAUUUUAAUUUCAUGGAGAAAAUGAUACCACGUAGAUUAACCAAAUCAAAAAAAUUCAACUCGGUGGUUAGACGAGUUAGUGCUUUGAUGACUCAAAACCGAGGGCACUAAGCCAAGUUGGACGAUUAAUUAACAAUUAAAUCAAUAUUUUAGAGGCACUAAUACUCGUUUCCACAUGGUUAAUGUUGGAAAAAAAGACCUUGGGUGUGAUUGACCAUCUGUCAUUCAAACCCUUAUCUCGCUUGUUUUCAUUCAUAAGAUUUCACGUAGAGGAAUCAAACAUGACUACAACUGUUAUCGCCUUCAUGCUUAUGGAGGGUAUCAUUGAAUUCUUCGAGUAGCGACAAGCAGCUAAAAAAACAACCGAUUAAUAAGCUUUUACGCAUUCAACUAAAAAGCCCACAUGAAAAUAUUAGGCACAUAGUGGGUACUAGGUCUCCCGCCGCUAGCUUUGAAUUAAAUUCCCCUUUUGCGAGCAAGUUGAGAGCUAAAUUUUCAUCGUCACGACAAAUUAUUGGCCACAUGAUGCAAGGUCUAAGAAGCUUCUAUAUAUGACCAUAAAAUCUUCUUACAAUUUAUUAAUUAAGACAAUAACACUUUUAUUCUCUCUAUUACUUCUAUCAAAGAAAUUAAAAUUUUAAAUUUCAAAAGGAUCCCCAACCUUAAAAUAUAUUAUGUAUAAUAUCAAGGGUUUCAAAAUGUGUAUAAAUUAAUUUAAAAAAAAAAAAAUAGAGGUUUUAUGCGGUAUAAAUUUUAAAAUUGGAUAAAAGAAUUUACUCCUAAAAUAAAUUUUUAUGAGUAAAAUUCACAUAAGUAAUUUGAGUUUAAUAGAUAUAAAGACUGAUUAAAUUCAACCAUUCAAUAUUAGUAUUAAUAGCACUAAAUCAUAAGAAGAUUAAUUCUUUCAAUUCAUCUAUCUAUUUAUUAGAGGAUUACACAUUACUCGCAAGAGUACUGAGCAAGAUUCGGUGGGUAAAGAAAAAUAAAAACCAUUGGCAAUUUGAAAUAUAAUACAUAUAAGACAUAAAGGUCCUGGCUACUGCCCUAUGCAUGUAGGUCGUGAUUCUUGUGACUUUAGAAGUCUACUUAUGAUGUUUGGUAGUGGCUACACACGGGGGAAUAAACGAAAAUGAUGAUUUUCCUUUUCCUUAAUUCCUAGACCGCCAACUUUUUUGCGUGCCCCAACACAACUUAUAUAAACUAAAAUCAUGUGUACGCAUAACAAGCAAAAGCAGGAGCAGCAUAAAAACUAGAUAACAACCCACUUCGCAAAAAGGAGGCGCGUCCCAUUAAUAAUCAAAUUAAUUGUACAUAUUAAGAUAAUUAUAACUCAUUUAUGUCGGUAUCUUAAAUACCAAUUCAUGGAUUGGUGGUGAUGAAUAAUUUAAAGAAAAAUUAAACCAGGUCACUGAUAGCUGCAUAAAGCUGGGGGCCUGGGGAAUUAAUUGUGUAAGCCACCAACGGAGACAUAACAUCCGAGACAAAGGAACUCUCGUUCCACGCACGUCUCUCUCUUUCUCUAUAUAUAUAUACAUGUAAAUAAGAUUAAAGUACUUGCUAUAGCUAUCUUAAUUUGGCUUUCAAGUCAUUAUUGGAGAUCAAUAUUCAUUCAAGAUUUAACGGCACAAGGCAACCAUGUCCAAAAUUUAUCCCAGUGAGAACAAACGCAAUGAAUUGAAACCGAAAGGAGAUGAUGAUUGCCGUUUACGCCGAGCAUGCUCACUGUGUGGAAGAGAUCAAGCAUGAGCUUCCAAGGCACUGAUGGGUUCACAGUGUUUGAUCAGCAAGGGAGAUUAGUUUUCCGUGUUGAUAAUACUCGCGGAAUCAUCCUUGUGCUGCUUCCGGUCUAGUGCUCAUGGACGGAGCUGGCAAUGCUCUGCUUUCUUUAAAACCCCAGGUAUAUAUACGUGUGUGUGUGUGUGUGUGUGUGUGUGUGUGUGUUGUGCAAAGGCUUUACAACACCGCACUUUAUGAAUCUCUGAUGAAACUUUUGUGCAUGGCUAUGGACAGAUACUGAGCAUGCAAAACCAGUGGAACGCGUACAGGGAAGAGGAUGGAUGUGGAAAGAGCAGUCCGAGGUGUAAAAUUUUCGAUGAGGAGCUCAUCGAUGGCGUUCUUCGGUGGCGGCAAGGAUAAGGCGGAGGUGUUCAUGGGGUCAGCAUCAGGACGAGGUAGACAACAAAGGGGGACGACGCCGGAUUUCAGGAUUGAGGGUUCUUUCAGGAAUCGAAACUGCAAGAUAAGUAAUGCGGAAGGACAAGUCGUGGCCAAGAUUGCGAGGAAGAGAGUCAUGAACUCUACCGUAAUGCUAAGCGACGACGUUUUUAGCUUAGUUAUACAACCUGGUUAUAGCAGUGAGCUUAUUAUGGCUUUUGUAAUUGUACUGGAUCGCAUCUCCACCAAGCCGUAUACUCCUGCUUUGUGUUCUUGAUGACUUUGUACUUUUUUCUUCUUUUUGUGUACAAAAAGCCCACGUAAAUAAUUCAUACAAGUUUUGGAUUUUGCUUCCUUGGCCGUGGCCAAUGGGAAGAAGAGAUAGCUGGACAGGAGUCAUCAAAAGAUUUUGUUCACAAGCAUGCAAUAUUGCGCUUGAAUUGAUGACACGAAUUGUUCAUCUUGUAAAAUAAAUAAGAAAUCAUAUAUUUAAAUUCGAUCAGUAGUCCGGAAUCAAGGAAGAAAUCAUCUGAAUUAAAAAAUGACAGAUUUUCCGUUAUUUUUUUAAAUUUUUGCAUUGCAAUAAUUUUCCUAAUUUCCAAGCUAAUUAAGGGAGUCAAAAUUCGAUUGGCUGAAUAUAGGUGGAGGAAAGAUUAGUUUUGUUCAUAUAUAUGUAAUCCAGGAAUAAUAAUAUCAGAAUUUUUAAAAUAUUUGCCUUUCCAUUGCUUGUGCUCUAUUCAUUAGUGUUAAAUUGUGGAAUUGACAAAAGACAUCUACGCAUUAAGAAUGUGGUCUAGCUACUAAUAUUUCUUUAGCGGCUGGUUAGAAGAUGAAGUGUUAAGAUAGUCGUAUACAAGUCUAUCGCACAGUCAAUGUCCUUCGUCACAGAGGAUGAACAGUAGGUUGGCGAAUCAGAUGGAAAAGCCCAUGUGUUUUUUUUUUUAGAUAAUUCCUUUAUCUGAAUCCUAAACAAAAGUGCUCUUCUCAAUCUCAGCUGAAGAGGAAAUGAGAUCAAAUUGCCAGAUAAAUGCUAAAUCUGUCGUGUUGAAAACGUUAUGUGUCAUUACAUGAAUGCUUGCCAACAAGCAUAUAAACCGGCUCAACUCAACUCUAUCCUAAACUUUUAAUUAUCACCUUGGAACAAAAUUCCAAGAAUCCGGCUCUACAAAAUACAAGUACAGAAUCGCAUUGUAAGACUAACUCAGCAAUUGUAUGAUCUUGAGACUGUUCGUUGCACAAACGCCAACCCUAUUCAGUUAUCCAUAUUGCCAAUACAACAAAAAUCCGUUCUACUUGCAAGUGAUAACUACAGAAAGAAUGAGUAUGCACCCAAUGACCGGCCACGUAUGUGCACCAGAUGAUAUAUCAUCAGUCAAUCACCAGACACAAAAGUCUUGCCCUCAUAGUACCUUUUCUCGCUUGCAUUCUUUUUCUCAUUUCGUUUCUGCAGAAGAAAGAAACACAUUUUCAUUUCUCCGUGGAUUAAACAGAAAAAAACACCAACACAGCAAACAAACAAACAUUAAGCAUUUAAUGGUCAUAGCACCAAACUGCUCAAUGGACGCGUUAGAACAAGCCCAUAACUCCCAUACUAUAAUUUCGAGAAGACAAACCUAUUACGCAUACAACAGCUUUAAACAGGUUGAUUCUCCCAUCUUCAUACAUAUGUUACACUGACUUGCCAACUACUAGAACAACCAUCACAUGCUCCCAAGGUCGGAAGAGCAGUGAAUAGGUCUUUUUUCAGGCACAUAUUAAAAGGCAAGUUUUGCAGAGGGAACUCUUUUCUUUCAGCCAAUAGUCAAGUGGCUCUUUCUUAAAACAUGUGGUAAAAACAUGCUAAGUUGAUCAAGAGCAUCAAAUAACAAGGUUUUGAAGGUAGGUGAACCUGAUAUGCCUCAUGAUUUGAUACAAUCCUCCUAAUUAUCGUGGCAGUAGUAAUAUCGAGUGGACUUUCCAGAACUUUGAAGAUACCCACGCUAAUUGGAAUAGCGUAUGGAUUGCCAUCAUCCUAUAUAACAAAAUAAUCUGUCAGCGAAAAGGUGUAUCUUGGCACCACAAUAAUCAGUGGUCAACUCUUUGUAACCACAUGCAACUAGAAACUUCUACAAAAUUUACCUUCUGAAAAUCAUCGUUCUCAGCUACAGUUCCGUGGACAACUAAUGAUUAAUAAGACCCAUGUCAUGACUUUGACCAGGCAUACUUGAACCAAAGAAGAAGGAAAAUUCUAAGACAUAAUCUAAUUCGAAAAAUGAGCUAGGAAAGUCCACAAGAGUCAAGAUCCUAGAAUUCAACUGAAUAGUCAAUUCUUUGCUUCUUUCCUUCAAGAUAUCUAAUAUUCUUCUCUCCGAGCCUACAGCGAAAAACAUGUUGUUGGAAAAUUUGUUCUUUAAAAGUAUACGUGUUUAUUUAAUUGUAAUAAAUAAUUUUUUUGAUUAAUAAAAUAAAUAAGAAUUUUUCUUUAAAUAUCUUAAUUGCAUUAAUAUUUUGAGUAAAAUCAAUUUAAUCAUAUUAUAUGUAUUUAUGUGAUCAAUAUGUGGAUUCACAAAAGACAUAAAUACAAGUUAUAUUAUGAUUAAAUAAAUUAAGUUUUGCAGUUGAUAAAUAAAGUACUCAAGUUUUGCAGUUGAUAAAUAAAGUUGAGUACUUUAUAUAGGUAUAGACUGUAAUAAAUUCAUUGAAUGAUUUGUCUUAAUCAUGUAUGAAUUUAUUGAUGUAGUCGUUGAGCACUUUAUUUAGGUAUAGUCUGUAAUAAAUUCAUUAAAUGAUUUGUCUUAAUCAUGUAUGAAUUUAUUGAUGUAGUACAACUAUAUUGAACAGGAUCACAAAUGAGAUUUAAUUAACUUUGUAAUAACUGUCAGACUUAUUAAAUCUCAUAGGCAUUGAUUUUACUAUACUCUUAAUCUUGAGUUAGAUAUAAUUUCAUGAUUGUAAUUGUUAUUCCAUUUGAGUUACCAAUGGGCACGACACACACUUGUAGUCAAGAUUACUCGGUAUCUUGGUGGGAGCAAUUAUGAAUAUUGGAAUUAUAGAUUAGCAAUAUAGAAUUUGUACAACACAUCUCUUGAUGAGUUUUCGGCACUUGAUCAUAAAAUUCUUUGGCCAGAGUUUGUCAACAUAUUUAAUAUGUUGAAAAUGAUAAUUAGAGAAAACCAAUAAGUAUUAAGGAACAAGAUGUAAUUAAAUUAAUUGAACAAUUAAGAUAUCAAUUUAAUUAACGAUGUGGUACAAAUGAUUGUACAGUAAAGAAAUCAAUGUGGCAUGGGUCAAAUUAUUAUUCGAGAACACUAUCCUGAAUAACAUACAAUUAUGAAGGUCAAUUCAAAUCUUUUAGAGGAGUAGAUUUUGAAUUAAAUAAUUGGGUUAGUUUAAUUAUCGGCAUAAUUAUUGUACCCACUAUUGUAUGUACUCAAAUGAUCUCCGGGUUAACUCAUUUAAUUGACUGCGUCGCUACUGGAUUAAUAAGUAAGAUAACUAGUUGUUUGGGUUAAAGCCUAAAUAUAUUAUUUAGUGGGAGACUCCAUAAAAUAUGCUUGUGUGUAAGGGUCUUAUGUUAUUUUACAAGGUGGACCCUUAUAACAAGAAGAAGUAACGUUAUUUAUGGUUUUAUUAUUUUUUAAUUUAAAUCAAAUAUGAUUUAAUAGAAUUAAUAAAUUAAUAAAUAUGAAGCCUAGGGUUUCCAUCAAAUAGAGAUAUAAAAAGGAUAUUUUCUCAACAAGAAAAGGUGAAGCCACAUUAUACAGAUUAGAAAAAAAAAAGAUUUUUCUCUAAUUUUGAGAGAAAUAUUUUCUCCUACUAGUUACUUUUUAGUGGUGAUAAAGGCGCCUACACGUCAAGUGCAGAUCAAACGUGAGUCAUAACUUGGAAGAUCAUUGGUGACAGAUCGUGAUCUAACCGGAGUAGUGGUGACAGAUCGUGAUCUAACAGUCUAGAUUACUUUAGCGAAAAAAGUAAAGUCGAAUUGUCAAUGUAUGAUUUUUUAGAUUUUGAAUUCUUAUGUAUUGUAUGAGAUCGAUCUAAAAGUUUUUAUAAAAAUUAAAAAACUGAUUUUUCUCCCACACGUGCAAUGUGUAUAUACAAACUCUCUUGACCAUUUGAAGCUAAGGGGAAAAAAAAAGAGAGAUCAAGUAAUUUUAAUUUUUAGAAAAAAAGAGUUCCCACAAGAUGGAUGUGGGAAUAACCGUCCCACACAAAGAAAAAGACCCCGGUGGGGAUGCCAUCUAGCACAACCACAUCACUGACAGCUAGCUAGUGCUUCCUAAAAAUUAUUAGUAGCAUCCACCAUUUCUAACUUCCAAACAUGCAUCACUCAGAGAAACUCAGACUCCAGCACCGAUUCCUUCAUGGCCAAUGCAUCUUGCACUCUUAUGCAAAGCUAACACAAGUAUUUUAGAUAACCCAGAAAUGAGUAAACUAGAUAUCACCAGAUGUAUAUAUAUUAACUAAUAAUUUCAGGCGUAACUACACUAGUACUAUUAAUAAUAUCUUUCUGAUUUUUGAUUUCUCUGAAUCAAUCAUCCAAUUUUAAUCAAUAGUCAAGAGCUAUGAAUCAACGUUUGAGAAAACAUCUUUACUGAUGAUUUAAAUCAACAUAUAGCCUGACAAUUUAAAUAUCAACAUAAAGCUAAUAACUAGCUUACAACGAGUAACACAAAAUGAAAGAUACUUGGAAGACACAAGGAAAAUAACAAGAGUUAACAGAGAAACUAACCAUGUUUUUAGAAACUUCCCAGGGAGCACCAAUUAUAACCUCAUCAACGUAGCGACAAGCUAAAACACUUAAACUUCUUUCGUGAAGAUUCAUGAUAGGGCGAUGAGCUCCUCUUUUAGCACUGCAGAGCCAUGUGAUUAAGUUUCCAUAACACAUGAUAAAGGUCAGAAACUUCGCUCAAUUUUCUUAGUAUAAAACGACUAUAGAAUCAGGGCAAAGUCUAACAAAAUGAAGGAUAUAGAAGGAUUUUUAAACCUGACUGUUUGAUCAUUGUGUAUCCCAACAAGAAGAAAAUCUCCAAGCCCCCGAGCAAUCCUCAAAAUAUACAACACAAGAUAAUUGGCAAGAAAUACAAAAAUAAGUGUAAAAUAACAGAGAUAAAGAUAAAUUUAAAAAGAAAAAGACAUGAUACAACUUAACCCAUAAUAAAAUAUGCAGUUAUGACACCAUCAAUUCUGAUAAGGAACGUUUGGAUUAAUUAAUUCCGCAUAUGCAUACACACUGGUCAAUAUUUUCUAACCAUCUACCCCACAUGUUUUUAGUUGAUUAAACUAGGAAUUUUUCACAUUCCUUUUUACGAUAUGCAGUUCGUUUUGACUAUAUAAAUUAAUAUAUUUAUGACAUUAAUUAUUAUUUGAUUUUUAUUACCGUUUAUUUAAUCAAUAGAUUAUUUAGAAUACAACGAUCGAUCGACCUAAUGAUGAUGACGCUAGGGCCACUUACCUCCAUAAACUUUCCCCUUCUAAAUAAAAUUAAUUAACACACACACACACACACACAAAAUCCCAUAUGGACUACAAAGUAAUCGAAUUUUCUAUUCCCAAACAUAUUCUAGUGACCCUCUAAUCCUAAUCCUAAUCCUAAUCCUAAUCCAGGUUAAAUUUUGUUUUUAUUCAUGGUGGAUGGUUACCAAAACCACUGCAAUUAAAAUGCACGCGUCUUAUACUGGAUGUGAGUUUCCUUUUAAAGUGACAUUUUAUAACUUUUUUUUCUUAUUUUAUAUGAAGAUUUUUCUAUGAUUUUGUAUGAAAUUUUACCCAAAUAAUAAUCUUGUGAACCCUUGGAUUUAAGUCACCAUUGGUUUAAUUUAGUAUUAUAUAUAACUAACUACUUAAUAAUAAUUACUAUGUAAUAUUGAAGUUGCUGAGUUAUUUGCAGGUUCAUAGAUAUAAUUUUAUUUUUAAGUAAUUAAAAAAUGUUUUCUAAUCACUAAAAAAACAUUAACCAUAAGUGUACAUGAUAAAUAUGAAUUAGAAAAUCUUCAACAACACAUGCAUGUUGAUAGAAUAGUGAUCCCUUUUAUCAUGUAUAAUUGUAACAGUAUAAUUUUAAAUACUUGAUUUUACUCAUUGGCAUUACCCCAAUCUUUACUAAUCUAGCAAGUCUUUGUGAAGAAGCGAGACAAGAUGAAAAAUAUAGAAGUUUAGAUAAACUAUAUUUGUUCGUUGUUAUUAUUUAACCUUAAAUAAAAACUUUUUUGGAUAUCAUUUUGAUUAAAUUUUUAAUUAUUAAAAUUAAAAUAUCAUCCUAACUAAAUUCCAAUUUUAUCAAUCAUUGAUCAAAUCUAAUUGUAUAUAUUUAUAUCGCAAGUGAUACAGUAAUUUUAUAACUGCUAUACAGGGAUGACAUCAGCAUCGUCCGCAACGAGUUUACUGUUACCACCCACACCCGCACCCGUUGUGGGUUUUAAUUUUUUAGAAAAAUCAACUUGCUACGGGUUUUGAUAAUUACCAAACCUGCAAUGGUACCCAGAGGAUUCUCACAUUUAAAAUCACAAAUGUACAAUAUGUAAAUUUUAUAUUAAUAACCUGAAAUUCCACAAUUCUAAAUUUAUCAAUGUAAAUAGAAAAUUAAAAUUUCAACAUUAAUUCAACAUAAACUCUCAAAUUUAAGUAUGAAAUAUAUAAAUCCAUUAAAAAAAAACCACAAAUGUAAUGAAAAAUUCAUGGGUUUGCGGCUGCGGAUCACGGGUGAAAGGGAAAUGGGUGUGCGGCUGUUGCUCACAGGUGAAAGGGAAAUAGUUUGGAAGGCUAGGCUUUGCGGCUGCCGCUUAUAAGUGAAAAUGAAAUAGUUUGGGUUUCCUUUAGGUUGGGUUAUGAGUUACAACUUACACACACCACACAUGACAUGUUUACACUUUACAUUUAUUUAAUUUAUAUAUUUUUAGAUUUAAUUAUUUUUUUAUUUAAAAUUACAUUGAAAAUAUUUGAGAAAAAAAAACUGCGGGUUUGGCGGAUAUCCCUGCGGCUAUCCAUCGGAUAUUUAGCUAAUACCAAACUCAGCCGCAACGUAAUGUGGGGUUCAAUUUUUAAUACUAAACUCGCCCACAACCUAUAAAAUUACCCACAACGGGCGAAUUUUGACAGGUGAAUUUAGACAAAUUUACGGGUGCCAUUGCCAUCCCUACUGUAGUAUUAAAAAAUGACCCCUUAUAUAUAGAAAUAUAUCCUAGUACGGGCUACAGACAGUGACCUAAUUAGAGGAGUGCUUAUAUUUUAAUUUCAUGGAGAAAAUGAUACCACGUAGAUUAACCAAAUCAAAUAAAUUCAACUCGGUGGUUAGACGAGUUAGUGCUUUGAUGACUCAAAACCGAGGGCACUAAGCCAAGUUGGACGAUUAAUUAACAAUUAAAUCAAUAUUUUAGAGGCACUAAUACUCGUUUCCACAUGGUUAAUGUUGGAAAAAAAGACCUUGGGUGUGAUUGACCAUCUGUCAUUCAAACCCUUAUCUCGCUUGUUUUCAUUCAUAAGAUUUCACGUAGAGGAAUCAAACAUGACUACAACUGUUAUCGCUUCAUGCUUAUGGAGGGUAUCAUUGAAUUCUUCGAGUAGCGACAAGCAGCUAAAAAACAACCGAUUAAUAAGCUUUUACGCAUUCAACUAAAAAGCCCACAUGAAAUAUUAGGCACAUAGUGGGUACUAGGUCUCCCGCCGCUAGCUUUGAAUUAAAUUCCCCUUUUGCGAGCAAGUUGAGAGCUAAAUUUUCAUCGUCACGACAAAUUAUUGGUCACAUGAAUGCAAGGUCUAAGAAGCUUCUAUUGACCAUAAAAUCUUCUCACAAUUUAUUAAUUAAGAAAAUAACUGCAGUACUAUAUUGUUUGGUACAACAUUUUUAUUCUCUCUCUUCUACUUCUCUUGAAGAAAUUAAAAUUUUAAAUUUUAAAAGAAUCCCCAAACUUAAAAUAUAUUAUGUAUAAUAUCAAUGGGGGUUUCAAAAAUGUGUAUAAUUGGAUUGUAUAAAAAAAAAUAGAGAUUUUAGUGCGGUAUAGAAUUUUAAAAACUGGAUAUAAGAAUUUACUCCUAAAAUAAUUUUUAUGAAUAGAAUUCACAUAAGUAAUUUUGAGUUUAAUAGAUAUAAGACUGAUUAAAUCUCAACCAUUCAAUAUUAGUAUUAAUAGCACUUAAUCAUAAGAAGAUACUAAUUCUUUGAAUUCAUCUAUCUAUUUAUUAGAGGAUUACACAUUACUCGCAAGAGUACUAAGCAAGAUUCGGUGGGUAAAGAAAAAUAAAAACCAUUUGGCAAUUUGAAAUAUAUAUAUAGCAUAUAUAAGACAUAAAGGUCCUGGCCUACUGCCUAUGCAUGUAGGUCGUGAAUCUUGUGACUUUAGAAGUCUACUUAUGAUGUUUGGUAGUGGCUACACACGGGGGAAUAAACGAAAAUGAUGAUUUUCCUUUUCCUUAAUUCCUAGACCGCCAACUUUUUUGCGUGCCCCCAACACAACUUAUAUAAACUAAAAUCAUGUGUACGCAUAACAAGCAAAAGCAGGAGCAGCAUAAAAACUAGAUAACAACCCACUUCGCAAAAAGGAGGCGCGUCCCAUUAAUAAUCAAAUUAAUUGUACAUAUAUUAAGAUAAUUAUAACUCAUUUAUGUCGGUAUCUUAAAUACCAAUUCAUGGAUUGGUGGUGAUGAAUAAUUUAAAGAAAAAAUUAAACCAGGUCACUGAUAGCUGCAUAAAGCUGGGGGCCUGGGGAAUUAAUUGUGUAAGCCACCAACGGAGACAUAACAUCCGAGACAAAGGAACUCUCGUUCCACGCACGUCUCUCUCUUUCUCUAUAUAUAUAUACAUGUAAAUAAGAUUAAAGUACUUGCUAUAGCUAUCUUAAUUUGGCUUUCAAGUCAUUAUUGGAGAUCAAUAUUCAUUCAGAUUUAACGGCACAAGGCAACCAUGUCCAAAAUUUUAUCCCAGUGAGAACAAACGCAAUGAAUUGAAACCGAAAGGAGAUGAUGAUUGCCGUUUACGCCCGAGCAUGCUCACUGUGUGGAAGAGAUCAAGCAUGAGCUUCCAAGGCACUGAUGGGUUCACAGUGUUUGAUCAGCAAGGGAGAUUAGUUUUCCGUGUUGAUAAUUACUCGCGGAAUCAUCCUUGUGUUGCUGCUUCCGGUCUAGUGCUCAUGGACGGAGCUGGCAAUGCUCUGCUUUCUUUAAAACCCCAGGUAUAUAUACGUGUGUGUGUGUGUGUGUGUGUGUGUGUGUGUGUGUUGUGCAAAGGCUUUACAACACCGCACUUUAUGAAUCUCUGAUGAAACUUUUGUGCAUGGCUAUGGACAGAUACUGAGCAUGCAAAACCAGUGGAACGCGUACAGGGAAGAGGAUGGAUGUGGAAAGAGCAGUCCGAGGUGUAAAGUAUUUUCGAUGAGGAGCUCAUCGAUGGCGUUCUUCGGUGGCGGCAAGGAUAAGGCGGAGGUGUUCAUGGGGUCAGCAUCAGGACGAGGUAGACAACAAAGGGGGACGACGCCGGAUUUCAGGAUUGAGGUUCUUUCAGGAAUCGAAACUGCAAGAUAAGUAAUGCGGAAGGACAAGUCGUGGCCAAGAUUGCGAGGAAGAGAGUCAUGAACUCUACCGUAAUGCUAAGCGACGACGUUUUUAGCUUAGUUAUACAACCUGGUUAUAGCAGUGAGCUUAUUAUGGCUUUUGUAAUUGUACUGGAUCGCAUCUCCACCAAGCCGUAUACUCCUGCUUUGUGUUCUUGAUGACUUUGUACUUUUUUCUUCUUUUUGUGUACACAAAAAGCCCACGUAAAUAAUUCAUACAAGUUUUGGAUUUUGCUUCCUUGGCCGUGGCCAAUGGGAAGAAGAGAUAGCUGGACAGGAGUCAUCAAAAGAUUUUGUUCACAAGCAUGCAAUAUUGCGCUUGAAUUGAUGACACGAUUGUUCAUCUUGUAAAAUAAAUAAAGAAAUCAUAUAUUUAAAUUCGAUCAGUAGUCCGGAAUCAAGGGAAGAAAUCAUCUGAAUUAAAAAAUGACAGAUUUUCCGUUAUUAUUUUAAAUUUUUGCAUUGCAAUAAUUUUCCUAAUUUCCAAGCUAAUUAAGGGAGUCAAAAUUCGAUUGGCUGAAUAUAGGUGGAGGAAAGAUUAGUUUUGUUCAUAUAUAUGUAUAUCCAGGAAUAAUAAUAUCAGAAUUUUUAAAAUAUUUGCCUUUCCAUUGCUUGUGCUUCUAUUCAUUAGUGUUAAAUUGUGGAAUUGACAAAAGACAUCUACGCAUUAAGAAUGUGGUCUAGCUACUAAUAUUUCUUUAGCGGCUGGUUAGAAGAUGAAGUGUUAAGAUAGUCGUAUACAAGUCUAUCGCACAGUCAAUGUCCUUCGUCACAGAGGAUGAACAGUAGGUUGGCGAAUCAGAUGGAAAAGCCCAUGUGUUUUUUUUUUUAGAUAAUUCCUUUAUCUGAAUCCUAAACAAAAGUGCUCUUCUCAAUCUCAGCUGAAGAGGAAAUGAGAUCAAAUUGCCAGAUAAAUGCUAAAUCUGUCGUGUUGAAAACGUUAUGUGUCAUUACAUGAAUGCUUGCCAACAAGCAUAUAACCGGCUCAACUCAACUCUAUCCUAAACUUUUAAUUAUCACCUUGGAACAAAAUUCCAAGAAUCCGGCUCUACAAAAUACAAGUACAGAAUCGCAUUGUAAGACUAACUCAGCAAUUGUAUGAUCUUGAGACUGUUCGUUGCACAAACGCCAACCCUAUUCAGUUAUCCAUAUUGCCAAUACAACAAAAAUCCGUUCUACUUGCAAGUGAUAACUACAGAAAGAAUGAGUAUGCACCCAAUGACCGGCCACGUAUGUGCACCAGAUGAUAUAUCAUCAGUCAAUCACCAGACACAAAAGUCUUGCCCUCAUAGUACCUUUUCUCGCUUGCAUUCUUUUUCUCAUUUCGUUUCUGCAGAAGAAAGAAACACAUUUUCAUUUCUCCGUGGAUUAAACAGAAAAAAACACCAACACAGCAAACAAACAAACAUUAAGCAUUUAAUGGUCAUAGCACCAAACUGCUCAAUGGACGCGUUAGAACAAGCCCAUAACUCCCAUACUAUAAUUUCGAGAAGACAAACCUAUUACGCAUACAACAGCUUUAAACAGGUUGAUUCUCCCAUCUUCAUACAUAUGUUACACUGACUUGCCAACUACUAGAACAACCAUCACAUGCUCCCCAAGGUCGGAAGAGCAGUGAAUAGGUCUUUUUUCAGGCACAUAUUAAAAGGCAAGUUUUGCAGAGGGAACUCUUUUCUUUCAGCCAAUAGUCAAGUGGCUUCUUUCUUAAAACAUGUGGUAAAAACAUGCUAAGUUGAUCAAGAGCAUCAAAUAACAAGGUUUUUGAAGGUAGGUGAACCUGAUAUGCCUCAUGAUUUGAUACAAUCCUCCUAAUUAUCGUGGCAGUAGUAAUAUCGAGUGGACUUUCCAGAACUUUGAAGAUACCCACGCUAAUUGGAAUAGCGUAUGGAUUGCCAUCAUCCUAUAUAACAAAAAUAAUCUGUCAGCGAAAAGGUGUAUCUUGGCACCACAAUAAUCAGUGGUCAACUCUUUGUAACCACAUGCAACUAGAAACUUCUACAAAAUUUACCUUCUGAAAAUCAUCGUUCUCAGCUACAGUUCCGUGGACAACUAAUGAUAUGUUGAAUGUUGUAAUCUGCAGCCCAAAAAAAAUUUAAAAAAAAAAAUCAAGUUAUAUCAUUAAUAAAGACCCAUGUCAUGACUUUGACCAGGCAUACUUGAACCAAAGAAGAAGGAAAAUUCUAAGACAUAAUCUAAUUCGAAAAAUGAGCUAGGAAAGUCCACAAGAGUCAAGAUCCUAGAAUUCAACUGAAUAGUCAAUUCUUUGCUUCUUUCCUUCAAGAUAUCUAAUAUUCUUCUCUCCGAGCCUACAGCGAAAAACAUGUUGUUGGAAAAAUUUGUUCUUUAAAAGUAUACGUGUUUAUUUAAUUGUAAUAAAUAAUUUUUUUGAUUAAUAAAAUAAAUAAGAAUUUUCUUUAAAUAUCUUAAUUGCAUUAAUAUUUUGAGUAAAAUCAAUUUAAUCAUAUUAUAUGUAUUUAUGUGAUCAAUAUGUGGAUUCACAAAAGACAUAAAUACAAGUUAUAUUAUGAUUAAAUAAAUUAAGUUUUGCAGUUGAUAAAUAAAGUACUCAAGUUUUGCAGUUGAUAAAUAAAGUUGAGUACUUUAUAUAGGUAUAGACUGUAAUAAAUUCAUUGAAUGAUUUGUCUUAAUCAUGUAUGAAUUUAUUGAUGUAGUCGUUGAGCACUUUAUUUAGGUAUAGUCUGUAAUAAAUUCAUUAAAUGAUUUGUCUUAAUCAUGUAUGAAUUUAUUGAUGUAGUACAACUAUAUUGAACAGGAUCACAAAUGAGAUUUAAUUAACUUUGUAAUAACUGUCAGACUUAUUAAAUCUCAUAGGCAUUGAUUUUACUAUACUCUUAAUCUUGAGUUAGAUAUAAUUUCAUGAUUGUAAUUGUUAUUCCAUUUGAGUUACCAAUGGGCACGACACACACUUGUAGUCAAGAUUACUCGGUAUCUUGGUGGGAGCAAUUAUGAAUAUUGGAAUUAUAGAUUAGCAAUAUAGAAUUUGUACAACACAUCUCUUGAUGAGUUUUCGGCACUUGAUCAUAAAAUUCUUUGGCCAGAGUUUGUCAACAUAUUUAAUAUGUUGAAAAUGAUAAUUAGAGAAAACCAAUAAGUAUUAAGGAACAAGAUGUAAUUAAAUUAAUUGAACAAUUAAGAUAUCAAUUUAAUUAACGAUGUGGUACAAAUGAUUGUACAGUAAAGAAAUCAAUGUGGCAUGGGUCAAAUUAUUAUUCGAGAACACUAUCCUGAAUAACAUACAAUUAUGAAGGUCAAUUCAAAUCUUUUAGAGGAGUAGAUUUUGAAUUAAAUAAUUGGGUUAGUUUAAUUAUCGGCAUAAUUAUUGUACCCACUAUUGUAUGUACUCAAAUGAUCUCCGGGUUAACUCAUUUAAUUGACUGCGUCGCUACUGGAUUAAUAAGUAAGAUAACUAGUUGUUUGGGUUAAAGCCUAAAUAUAUUAUUUAGUGGGAGACUCCAUAAAAUAUGCUUGUGUGUAAGGGUCUUAUGUUAUUUUACAAGGUGGACCCUUAUAACAAGAAGAAGUAACGUUAUUUAUGGUUUUAUUAUUUUUUUAAUUUAAAUCAAAUGUGAUUUAAUAGAAUUAAUAAAUUAAUAAAUAUGAAGCCUAAGGUUUCCAUCAAAUAGAGAUAUAAAAAUGCUUAUUUUCUCAACAAGAAAAGGUGAAGCCACAUUAUACAGAUUAUAAAAAAAAAAAGAUUUUUCUCUAAUUUUGAGAGAAAUAUUUUCUCCUACUAGUUACUUUUUAGUGGUGAUAAAAGCGCCCACACGUCAAGUGCAGAUCAAACGUGAGUCAUAACUUGGAAAAUCAUUGGUGACAGAUCGUGAUCUAACCGGAGUAGUGGUGACAGAUCGUGAUCUAACGGUCUAGAUUACUUUAGCUAAAAAAGUAAAGUUGAAUUGUCAAUGUAUGAUUUUUUAGAUUUUGAAUUCUUAUGUAUUGUAUGAGAUCGAUCUUAAAAGUUUUUAUAAAAAUUAAAAAACUGAUUUUUCUCCCACACGUGCAAUGUGUAUAUACAAACUCUCUUGACCAUUUGAAGCUAAGGGGAAAAAAAAAAGAGAGAUCAAGUAAUUUUAAUUUUUAGAAAAAAAGAGUUCCCACAAGAUGGAUGUGGGAAUAACCGUCCCACACAAAGAAAAAGACCCCGGUGGGGAUGCCAUCUAGCACAACCACAUCACUGACAGCUAGCUAGUGCUUCCUAAAAAUUAUUAGUAGCAUCCACCAUUUCUAACUUCCAAACAUGCAUCACUCAGAGAAACUCAGACUCCAGCACCGAUUCCUUCAUGGCCAAUGCAUCUUGCACUCUUAUGCAAAGCUAACACAAGUAUUUUAGAUAACCCAGAAAUGAGUAAACUAGAUAUCACCAGAUGUAUAUAUAUUAACUAAUAAUUUCCAGGCGUAACUACACUAGUACUAUUAAUAAUAUCUUUCUGAUUUUUGAUUUCUCUGAAUCAAUCAUCCAAUUUUAAUCAAUAGUCAAGAGCUAUGAAUCAACGUUUGAGAAAACAUCUUUACUGAUGAUUUAAAUCAACAUAUAGCCUGACAAUUUAAAUAUCAACAUAAAGCCUAAUAACUAGCUUACAACGAGUAACACAAAAUGAAAGAUACUUGGAAGACACAAGGAAAAUAACAAGAGUUAACAGAGAAACUAACCAUGUUUUUAGAAACUUCCCAGGGAGCACCAAUUAUAACCUCAUCAACGUAGCGACAAGCUAAAACACUUAAACUUCUUUCGUGAAGAUUCAUGAUAGGGCGAUGAGCUCCUCUUUUAGCACUGCAGAGCCAUGUGAUUAAGUUUCCAUAACACAUGAUAAAGGUCAGAAACUUCGCUCAAUUUUCUUAGUAUAAAAAACGACUAUAGAAUCAGGGCAAAGUCUAACAAAAUGAAGGAUAUAGAAGGAUUUUUAAACCUGACUGUUUGAUCAUUGUGUAUCCCAACAAGAAGAAAAUCUCCAAGCCCCCGAGCAAUCCUCAAAAUAUACAACACAAGAUAAUUGGCAAGAAAUACAAAAAUAAGUGUAAAAUAACAGAGAUAAAGAUAAAUUUAAAAAGAAAAAGACAUGAUACAACUUAACCCAUAAUAAAAUAUGCAGUUAUGACACCAUCAAUUCUGAUAAGGAACGUUUGGAUUAAUUAAUUCCGCAUAUGCAUACACACUGGUCAAUAUUUUCUAACCAUCUACCCCACAUGUUUUUAGUUGAUUAAACUAGGAAUUUUUCACAUUCCUUUUUACGAUAUGCAGUUCGUUUUGACUAUAUAAAUUAAUAUAUUUAUGACAUUAAUUAUUAUUUGAUUUUUAUUACCGUUUAUUUAAUCAAUAGAUUAUUUAGAAUACAACGAUCGAUCGACCUAAUGAUGAUGACGCUAGGGCCACUUACCUCCAUAAACUUUCCCCUUCUAAAUAAAAUUAAUUAACACACACACACACACACACAAAAUCCCAUAUGGACUACAAAGUAAUCGAAUUUUCUAUUCCCAAACAUAUUCUAGUGACCCUCUAAUCCUAAUCCUAAUCCUAAUCCUAAUCCAGGUUAAAUUUUGUUUUUAUUCAUGGUGGAUGGUUACCAAAUACCACCUGCAAUUAAAAUGCACGCGUCUUAUACUGGAUGUGAGUUUCCUUUUAAAGUGACAUUUUAUAACUUUUUUUUUCUUAUUUUAUAUGAAGAUUUUUCUAUGAUUUUGUAUGAAAUUUUACAACCCUGAAAAUAAUAAUCUUGUGAACCCUUGGAUUUAAGUCACCAUUGGUUUAAUUUAGUAUUAUAUAUAACUAACUACUUAAUAAUAAUUACUAUGUAAUAUUGAAGUUGCUGAGUUAUUUGCAGGUUCAUAGAUAUAAUUUUAUUUUUAAGUAAUUAAAAAAUGUUUUCUAAAUCACUAAAAAAUAAAACAUUAAAUAAGCUUACACACACGCAUGUUAAUGUGUACAUGAUAAAUAUGAAUUAGAAAAUCUUCAACAACACAUGCAUGUUGAUAGAAUAGUGAUCCCUUUUAUCAUGUAUAAUUGUAACAGUAUAAUUUUAAAUACUUGAUUUUACUCAUUGGCAUUACCCCAAUCUUUACUAAUCUAGCAAGUCUUUGUGAAGAAGCGAGACAAGAUGAAAAAUAUAGAAGUUUAGAUAAACUAUAUUUGUUCGUUGUUAUUAUUUAACCUUAAAUAAAAACUUUUUUGGAUAUCAUUUUGAUUAAAUUUUUAAUUAUUAAAAUUAAAAUAUCAUCCUAACUAAAUUCCAAUUUUAUCAAUCAUUGAUCAAAUCUAAUUGUAUAUAUUUAUAUCGCAAGUGAUACAGUAAUUUUUAUAACUGCUAUACAGGGAUGACAAUCAGCAUCGUCCGCAACGAGUUUACUGUUACCAAACCCACACCCGCACCCGUUGUGGGUUUUAAUUUUUUAGAAAAAUCAACUUGCUACGGGUUUUGAUAAUUACCAAACCUGCAAUGGUACCCAGAGGAUUCUCACAUUUAAAAUCACAAAUGUACAAUAUGUAAAUUUUAUAUUAAUAACCUGAAAUUCCACAAUUCUAAAUUUAAUCAAUGUAAAUAGAAAAUUAAAAUUUCAACAUUAAUUCAACAUAAACUCUCAAAUUUAAGUAUGAAAUAUAUAAAUCCAUUAAAAAAAACCACAAAUGUAAUGAAAAAUUCAUGGGUUUGCGGCUGCGGAUCACGGGUGAAAGGGAAAUGGGUGUGCGGCUGUUGCUCACAGGUGAAAGGGAAAUAGUUUGGAAGGCUAGGCUUUGCGGCUGCCGCUUAUAAGUGAAAAUGAAAUAGUUUGGGUUUCCUUUAGGUUGGGUUAUGAGUUACAACUUACACACACCACACAUGACAUGUUUACACUUUACAUUUAUUUAAUUUAUAUAUUUUUAGAUUUAAUUAUUUUUUAUUUAAAAUUACAUUGAAAAUAUUUGAGAAAAAAAAAACCGCGGGUUUGGCGGAUAUCCCUGCGGCUAUCCAUCGGAUAUUUAGCUAAUACCAAACUCAGCCGCAACGUAAUGUGGGGUUCAAUUUUUAAUACUAAACUCGCCCACAACCUAUAAAAUUACCCACAACGGGCGAAUUUUGACAGGUGAAUUUAGACAAAUUUACGGGUGCCAUUGCCAUCCCUACUGUAGUAUUAAAAAAUGACCCCUUAUAUAUAGAAAUAUAUCCUAGUACGGGCUACAGACAGUGACCUAAUUAGAGGAGUGCUUAUAUUUUAAUUUCAUGGAGAAAAUGAUACCACGUAGAUUAACCAAAUCAAAUAAAAUUCAACUCGGUGGUUAGACGAGUUAGUGCUUUGAUGACUCAAAACCGAGGGCACUAAGCCAAGUUGGACGAUUAAUUAACAAUUAAAUCAAUAUUUUAGAGGCACUAAUACUCGUUUCCACAUGGUUAAUGUUGGAAAAAAAGACCUUGGGUGUGAUUGACCAUCUGUCAUUCAAACCCUUAUCUCGCUUGUUUUCAUUCAUAAGAUUUCACGUAGAGGAAUCAAACAUGACUACAACUGUUAUCGCCUUCAUGCUUAUGGAGGGUAUCAUUGAAUUCUUCGAGUAGCGACAAGCAGCUAAAAAACAACCGAUUAAUAAGCUUUUACGCAUUCAACUAAAAAGCCCACAUGAAAAUAUUAGGCACAUAGUGGGUACUAGGUCUCCCGCCGCUAGCUUUGAAUUAAAUUCCCCUUUUGCGAGCAAGUUGAGAGCUAAAUUUUCAUCGUCACGACAAAUUAUUGGCCACAUGCAUGCAAGGUCUAAGAAGCUUCUAUUAUAUCCUCUGACCAUAAAAUCUUCUUACAAUUUAUUAAUUAAGACAAUAACACUUUUAUUCUCUCCUAUUACUUCUAUCAAAGAAAUUAAAAUUUUAAAUUUCAAAAGGGAUCCCCAACCUUAAAAUAUAUUAUGUAUAAUAUCAAUAGGGUUUUCAAUAAUGUGUAUAAAUUGAAUUAUAUUAAAAAAAAAAAAAGAAAUAGAGGUUUUUAAUGCAGUAUAAAGUUUUACAAAUUGGAUAAAAGAAUUUACUCCUAAAAUAAAUUUUUAUGAGUAAAAUUCACAUAAGUAAUUUGAGCUUAGUAUAUAUAAAGACUGAUUAAAUUUGAACCAUUCAAUAUCAGUAUUAAUAGCACUAAAUCAUAAGAAGAUGCUAAUUCUUUCAAUUCAUCUAUCUAUUUAUUAGAGGAUUACACAUUACUCGCAAGAGUACUGAGCAAGAUUCGGUGGGUAAAGAAAAAUAAAAACCAUUGGGCAAUUUGAAAUAUAUAAAUUGCACAUAUAAGACAUAAAGGUCCUGGCCUACUGCCCUAUGCAUGUAGGUCGUGAUUCUUGUGACUUUAGAAGUCUACUUAUGAUGUUUGGUAGUGGCUACACACGGGGGAAUAAACGAAAAUGAUGAUUUUCCUUUUCCUUAAUUCCUAGACCGCCAACUUUUUUGUGUGCCCCCAACACAACUUAUAUAAACUAAAAUCAUGUGUACACAUAACAAGCAAAAGCAGGAGCAGCAUAAAAACUAGAUAACAACCCACUUCUUAAAAAGGAGGCGCGUCACAUUAAUAAUCAAAUUAAUUGUACAUCUUUUUUCCCCCCCUAAAAGUAUAGCCAUACAUAUAUUACGAUAAUUAUAACUCAUUUAUUUCUGUAUCUUAAAUACCAAUUCAUGCCAGGUCACUGAUUGCUGCAUAAAGCUGGGGGCCUGCGGAAUUAAUUGUGUAAGCCACCAACGGAGACAUAACAUCCGAGACAAAGGAACUCUCGUUCCACGCACGUCUCUCUCUUUCUCUAUAUAUAUAUAUAUACAUGUAAAUAAGAUUAAAGUACUUGCUAUAGCUAUCUUAAUUUGGCUUUCAAGUCAUUAUUGGAGAUCAAUAUUCAUUCAAGAUUAACGGCACAAGGCAACCAUGUCCAAAAUUUAUCCCAGUGAGAACAAACGCAAUGAAUUGAAACCGAAAGGAGAUGAUGAUUGCCGUUUACGCCCGAGCACGCUCACUGUGUGGAAGAGAUCAAGCAUGAGCUUCCAAGGCACCGAUGGGUUCACAGUGUUUGAUCAGCAAGGGAGAUUAGUUUUCCGUGUUGAGAAUUACUCGCGGAAUCAUCCUUGUGCUGCUUCCGGUCUAGUGCUCAUGGACGGGGCUGGCAAUGCUCUGCUUUCUUUAAAACCCCAGGUAAAUAUACGCGUCUCUAUAUAUAUAUAUAUAUAUUGUGCAAAGGCUUUACAACGCCGCACUUUAUGAAUCACUGAUGAAACUUUUGUGCAUGGCUAUGGACAGAUACUGAGCAUGCAGUACCAGUGGAACGCGUACAAGGAAGAGGAUGACUGUGGAAAGAGCAGUCCGAGGUGUAAACUAUUUUCGAUGCGGAGCUCAUCGAUGGCGUUUUUCAGUGGCGGCAAGGAUAAAGCGGAGGUGUUCAUGGGAUCAGCAUCAGGACGAGGUAGGGAACAAAGGGGGACGACGCCGGAUUUCAGGAUUGAGGGUUCUUUCAGGAAUCGAAACUGCAAGAUAAGUAAUGCGGAAGGACAAGUUGUGGCCAAGAUUGCGAGGAAGAGAGUCAUGAACUCCACCGUAAUGCUAAGCGACGACGUUUUUAGCUUAGUUAUACAACCUGGUUAUAGCAGUGAACUUAUUAUGGCUUUUGUAAUUGUACUGGAUCGCAUCUCCACCAAGCCGUAUACUCCUGCUUUGUGUUCUUGAUGACUUUGUACUUUUUUCUUCUUUUUGUGUACACAAAAAGCCCACGUAAAUAAUUCAUAC
rnacentral:lncRNA from 1 species